GGACUAGCUGAUUGCUUAACUUCCUCUCAGUUCUAACAGUUCUUAACACUCGAUUAUCUACAUGAAGAUGUGAAGGGGAGAGAUGAGCAGGCAUUCAGAAAAAGCGGAUGACACAGGCAUUCAUAGUUCGAGCAUUGUGUGUGUGUAUUUUUAUUUUUGGCCGCACCACGUGGCAUGUGGGAUCUUAACUCUCCGACCAGAGAUCAAACCCUGCAGUGGAAGCAUGGAGUCUUAAACACUGGACCAUCAGGAACGUCUCCACUACAGUUGUCGGCCGCCGGGUAGCCGGGCAGAACCCCCCGCCAGUGUCCGAGCAGCCGACCACGGAUUGACUCGUCCUCACGCCCCGCCCUCGCGGUGUUCCUGCCCCGAAGCUAAAGCCCCGCCCCCGAAGAGCCCUCACUGGACCUGAGGUCCGCUCCACUCUCCCA
ensembl:lncRNA